rnacentral:rRNA from 1 species
UACGUAGGAUCCGAGCGUUGUCCGGAUUUACUGGGUGUAAAGGGUGCGCAGGCGGACUGGUGAGUCUGGGGUGAAAUCUCGCUGCUUAACCUGGGAACUGCAUUUGUGACUGCAAGGCUGGAGUGCGGCAGAGGGGGAUGGAAUUCCGCGUGUAGCAGUGAAAUGCGUAGAUAUGCGGAGGAACACCGAUGGCGAAGGCAAUCCCCUGGGCCUGCACUGACGCUCAUGCACGAAAGCGUGGGGAGCAAACAGG